GGUGCUUAUUUAUUCCUUCCAUUACACUCCUCGGUCUCCCUUGCAGUUAGUUAAAGGCCAGGUGCCUAAUUAUACUUCAUGAACUAGAGCAGAAGGGAUGAGGCAGUAAAGAACCAGUGCCUUGAGAGGUCUCUUUCCCUGUUGAAGAGGACUGGGAGGCCGUGAGUUCAAGCUGGCAGAGCUUCAUGAUGGGGUGCCACCCCAUCCUCAUCAGAGUGCAGUAAGAGUACAAAUUUAUGCUAUAUCACUGACAUUUCCAGGUUAAUUCAUUGCCUCAAGAUGUCUUCACUAGGUGGAAGAAGUUCAGCAGAGUGCUCAGCAAGAGCAGCAAACAACUGGGACCUGAAGAAGAGAUAAUAUCUCAGGAGAGAAAGAGAGACUCAGAUGCGUGAAACAGAGAUGGUUUGAGGAGAAAGGAGGGAAGGAUGAGUUGAGACCUUACGGAUGAUUUAGGACUGUGGCAAAGCCCCAAACUGAAAGCCUGAAAUCCCCAAAUUCAUCUCCUAUUUGCUACUUCACUAUAUAUUCACCCUUUCCCAGACUAGAACAAGAGGGAGAUGCUUUUAGAUGGUUGUAUAGAAAUAAAUUUUUCUUAUCUACCCGAUGUCAGCCAGUUGUUUACCUUAUUGAUUUGAAAAUCUCCCUCCUGCCCUAGGUCUUCCUUACAUUGCCAAUUAGCUUCUUUCUAAUGUCCUGUCACCAUUAAGAUCCCCUGAUUAGGGAUUUACAACUGCAAUCUCAUUUUAUUAUAUAUAUAUAUA
ensembl:lncRNA